rnacentral:rRNA from 1 species
CUACGGGGUGCAGCAGUGGGGAAUAUUGCACAAUGGGGGAAACCCUGAUGCAGCAACGCCGCGUGGAGGAUGACGCAUUUCGGUGUGUAAACUCCUUUUAUAUAGGAAGAUAAUGACGGUACUAUAUGAAUAAGCACCGGCUAACUCCGUGCCAGCAGCCGCGGUAAUACGGAGGGUGCAAGCGUUACUCGGAAUCACUGGGCGUAAAGCGCGCGCAGGCGGCCCCUUAAGUUGGAUGUGAAAGCCUACGGCUUAACCGUAGAACUGCAUCCAAAACUGAGGGGCUAGAGUCUGGGAGGGGAAGAUGGAAUUAGUUGUGUAGGGGUAAAACCCGUAGAGAUAACUAGGAAUACCAAAAGCGAAGGCGAUCUUCUGGAACAGUACUGACGCUGAGGCGCGAAAGCGUGGGGAGCAAACAGGAUUAGAUACCCCAGUAGUC